GCGCCAGUAGUCUAGUGGUAUGAUGUGACCCUCCCAAGGUUGCGACCCGGGUUCGAUUCCCGGUUGGCGCA
rnacentral:tRNA from 1 species